CGGCGACGGGUCCCUCUCCUCCGACCCGUCCGCUCCGCACGAGCGAGGGGCUGGGCAGUGGUGGCUUCCCCGCGUGACGGGUCGCUGGUGUUGCGCCGGUCACGGGCAGCGGCGGGGCCAGCCGAUGGCUGCGGGUCAAACCGACCGGGACAGCGGCGCAUCUGUGCGAGAGGGGGAGAGGGGAGAAGAAGGAGAGGCCUGGCGGCGGUUGAGGAGGUGCUGCGCGCCGCAAUCUCUUCCUCGACGCGCCGCCAAAUCUCCACCUCGACGCUCUGCUGGUCCUCUGCAUCCACGUGCCGCCGGAACUCCGCCUCGAACUUCAGUUUUUGUGGGGUUGGUGAAGCACAAACGAGUGACAUAGGGCGUGGAGUAGACACCCAGCUCCAUGGUUCCAUUAUGCAGGAUGUGGCUUGGAUUGUCGUGCUGCUGAAAACAACCAACGGUGGCUCCGCUUGGUUUUGAAAUUGGGAGGGUUUAAUUCAAGAUUUUUAUAUUUUCCCCUGUUUUUGUAUGGACAAUGUGUGUGCCGUCUAUAAAAUGUUUAGUUAUGUUUGGCAGAUGAGUACAAACUCUUUUUCUCUCCACGUUUACCAUGAAGAAUGAAACACA